UGCCAGCAGCCGCGGUAAUACGGAGGGUCCAAGCGUUAUCCGGAAUCACUGGGUUUAAAGGGUGCGUAGGUGGUUAUUUAAGUCAGAAGUGAAAUCUUGCAGCUCAACUGUAAAACUGCUUUUGAAACUGAAUAACUUGAAUAUUUUUGAUGUGGGCGGAAUGAGUCAUGUAGCGGUGAAAUGCGUAGAUAUGACUCAGAACACCGAUUGCGAAGGCAGCUCACAAAGAAAUAUUGACACUGAGGCACGAAAGCGUGGGUAGCGAACAGGAUUAGAUA
rnacentral:rRNA from 1 species